UACGGGGGGGGCAAGCGUUGUUCGGAAUUACUGGGCGUAAAGGGUGCGUAGGCGGUUCGCUAAGUUGGAUGUGAAAACUCUGGGCUCAACCCAGAGCCUGCAUCCAAAACUGGCGGGCUAGAGUUCUGGAGGGGGUAGCGGAAUUCCUGGUGUAGCGGUGAAAUGCGUAGAUAUCAGGAGGAACACCGGUGGCGAAGGCGGCAUCCUGGACCGACACUGACGCUGAGGAGCGAAAGCCAGGGGAGCAAACGGG
rnacentral:rRNA from 1 species